UUUUUUCAUUAUUUUGGCCCUCUAUUUAAAUGGGCCUUCUUUUUUCUUCGAUCGAAUUGAAUUGACUUGAGAGAGAGAUCAGUGAGCUCAGUUGAGGGGCAGAGAGAGUAUGAGCCAUCGGGAAGCCCUCACACUGGGAAAUUAAUGGGGGUGUGAGGCGGUAACCACCGCAGGUGUGGGUGGCAUCUGAAACCGAUGGAACCAGGAAAACCGAGGGACUUCAUCAGUUCACCAUGGGACCCAGCCACAUUAAUUGGUAAGGUUCUCGCUCCUGCUUCAACCGUUAAUUUUCUAAAUUCCAUCAAGCAUUUCUGAUGCUAAGUGAGGUUAAUUAUAGGAUUUAAAGAGCUUCACCUGAAUGCAGUAAACGAGAGGAGACAGCUUCCACCCAUUACCCCUUAGUAAGCUUAAGGAUGCAUUAAAUCUAUUUUCCAUUCAAUUUAUAUUAAUUAGUUUGUCCUAAGAGUAGUUUGAACAUAUUAGAACACGUAAGUAGCUGAACUAACCCUAAAAUCAACAUGUGCAUACAAGGAAAUUGCAUGAAACUCUCGGGUUCAGUAAUAACCCGAUAACACAUAGUACCAUGUAGGUUUUGUUUAGAUUUUUAGAACAACUUUUGGGGGCUUAAAACGAAGUUCGUUCAUUAAGGAAUCUGUAAAUAUAAUUAGUACCCAUCACAAAGCCUUCAUAUCAUUUUUUGUUAAGUUUCUAGCUAGAUCUUCAUGAAACUGCAUGGAUUUAAACAGGUGAAGAAAAGUUGGUUUGAAAAACUCUCUCCGAUCACUACCCAGGCCGUUAGAACAGUCAAGAUAGGUCCGGAAAAAUGGAUUUUUCUGUAAUUGUUUCAUUUUUCUUACGUAUAUGCUUGCUGGGUUGUUUUGAAUGUUUGGCUGCAUUGUUUUGUCUCUGAUUUCAUGAAAAAAAGAGUAUAUGUAUAUGGAUUAAAUUAACUAUGAUAGACUGAUAGUAAAUGGGAAAAUAAGAAAAUUAAAUGAUGAUUAUAAAUCGUGCAUGUGGUUAAGGGUGAAUGUGGAGUUAAUUUAGAAACAUUAUAAAUUAAUAAGUAAAUAAAAUUAAGAAGCAAAAUGAGAAAUAAAUUAAAAUAACUAUAAACAAAUAGGGAAGGGAUUUAUAAAAGAAAUAAAUUAAAUAGAAAUAUAAUGGAAUAAAGAAUAAUAAUAAUAGUAAUAAUAAUAAUAACAAUAAUAAUAAUAACAACAACAAUAAUAAUAAUACUAAAAAUGAUAAUAAAUGUAAUAA
rnacentral:lncRNA from 1 species